rnacentral:rRNA from 1 species
AUUGAACGCUGGCGGCAGGCCUAACACAUGCAAGUCGAACGAGCGGCGGACGGGUGAGUAAUGUCUGGGAAUCUGCCUGAUGGCGGGGGAUAACUACUGGAAACGGUAGCUAAUACCGCAUACCAUCAGAUGUGCCCAUAUGGGAUUAGCUUGUAGGUGGGGUAAUGGCUCACCUAGGCGACGAUCCCUAGCUGGUCUGAGAGGAUGACCAGCCACACUGGAACUGAGACACGAUCCAGACGCCUACGGGAGGCAGCAGUGGGGAAUAUUGCACAAUGGGCGCAAGCCUGAUGCAGCCAUGCCGCGUGUGUGAAGAAGGCCUUCGGGUUGUAAAGCACUUUCAGCGGGGAGGCGUUACUCGCAGAAGAAGCACCGGCUAACUCCGUGCCAGCAGCCGCGGUAAUAC